AAGAGCAAACAUACAAGUCAGUCUCUUAUUGGCACUCAAUGUGUACAGUUCAGUGGCAACGCAAGUAAAUGAUACGACAUAUUGGGCACAAAGCCGAUGUACGUGCGCGCGACGUAAGCAAGUGCGAAACAUAAAUAUAAUACAAAUAUCAAUCUCUGAGCAACAAAAUAUUAAUAAAUAGAAAAUACAUACAUACAAAAAAUAGUUUAUAACACAAAAUAAUAAAAUAAAAAGGAAAUGAAAGGAGUGCGUGUACAUAAAUAGUUUUACAUAUAUUUUCAUAGUAUAUCUGAGUAUUAUUGUGAGUGUAUGUGCAAUAACAAAUCCUAAUAAUAGUUGCAAAUGCGAAAAAUAAACGUAAAAGUAACUGAUUGCAGUUAGUGCGAAUUAAAAUCAAUCGGUGCGGUCAAUUAAGUAAACGGUUUUCAGAUAAUCUGACGGGAAAGUGUACAAUAAAUUAAAUCGUAAUAUUUCUGUUUUUCUGUGUUCAAUUUGGCAACUUAAGCUAUUUAUAGAUCAUUUGGCAGAUUCUUGCGUCUACAACGGGCAACAUUGUUCAGUGAAAACAAAGCUGAUGUCUACUUAUAAAAGAAAACCCACGAAAGGAGAAAAAAUUGAUGGGAAUAUUGGAAAAAAAUGCGAGAAUCAAUAGCGA